UACGUAGGGUGCGAGCGUUAAUCGGAAUUACUGGGCGUAAAGCGUGCGCAGGCGGUUUUGUAAGCCAGGUGUGAAAUCCCCGGGCUCAACCUGGGAAUGGCAUUUGGGACUGCAAGGCUGGAGUGCGGCAGAGGAGACUGGAAUUGCGGGUGUAGCGGCGAAAUGCGUAGAUAUCCGCAGGAACAUCCGAGGCGAAAGCGGCUCGCUGGAUCACAACUGACGCUGAGGGACGAAAGCUAGGGGAGCAAACAGG
rnacentral:rRNA from 1 species